rnacentral:lncRNA from 1 species
ACCCAACAAUCAAGCCCAGUUCAGCCCAAAUCAGCCUUGCCUGAACUCAACUUCGGCCCAGUUCAAACGCUGCCGUUUUGGAAGAUUCUUGAAGCCCGUGUAAAAAUUUGAACCUGAAAAUGAAGCUGAAAAUAUGCAAGGGGAGAAAGGCGCGAGGCAGAUAGGAACAAGGGCGAAACAAUGAAAGAAGCAAAAGGGUAUCGGGCUCGAGGAGGCAGUGAAGCAAAGGGUUUUGUGAGAGAAAGAAGCUGGGACCAAGAGGAAAAUAGUAAGGAAAAGAAAAAAAAAAAAAAAAGGAAGAGGAAGAAAGGAAUCGGUUGAAGUAAUAAGGUAUAUUUUGAAUUCGGAAUUUACUUUUUCGUUUCUUGAAGUCAAACUUUGUUUUGCUUCAAGUUUUCACUCCUCUGUAUGCCUAGAAAUCAGACGAACAAAGAGUGAACUGGCAUAUUUGUUGAUAGAAUUAGCAUGAUGAUUUUAUAUGGGUUUGACAGAAUCGCCGUGUCUCUGUUUUGUUGGGAAUUUCUUUGUUUUUUUCUGGAUUGAUAUAGAUAAUCAAAACGAUGAAGAAAAAACGAGUAGGAGAUUUGUUGAAAUUCCCUGUAAUAGUUAAAGAAUGUUCAUCCUUUUUUUCUUUAUUUUAUGCUACAAUGAUUCGUGAUUCAGGUGGCAUUAUGGUUUGGUUUAUCAUACUUAGUUUUAGGGACAGAAAUGAUAAGAACAAUUAGUGUUAGCAAAGUUUCUGGCAGAAUUAGUGCUAUUUUCACUAGAGGUUAAUGACAAUUUAAUAGAUAUAAUUGGUUUUCUUUUACUUCAUCUUCAUGUCUUUGGAACUUGAUUUAUCUUCAAUAUCAAAAGAAAAUUUAGAAGAAAAAUUUAGAAAGAUGGUAGCAGUAAACAUAUAAAGAAGGGGAUUUGGGAAUCAUGAAAAGGGAAAUAUUGAAGUGAGCAUAUGCCAAGAUUCAAGUAAUAAGGAAUGUAUUUUCAUCUUGCAUUUUGUUUUAAUGUAGUUUAAUUCAUUACACCUUGUAAAUUGUAACAUACCAUUGUCACUUACAUUGUAGAUAAAAUUUUAAAUAUUACACUGGCAAAUUAAAUUAAUAUUUAGUAUAUAGGUACUUCACAUGUUCUAUUCUCAUCGCAUGCGGUUAUGGAAUUUAAAAUCUUUGAAUUAAGACGAAUAUGUUUAAAUUAUUAUUUUAAUUUUUUUUUUUUUCUAAUAACAUCGGUAGCGAUUUUCGAAAAAUUUAUUUUUGUGGAAGUCUCUUUUGGGCUUCGUGUCCGCCACAGUGUGACAGGUGGUGUUUCGGGAAGUCGGAUUAUGGGUUGGCUUCAGGCCUAAUUCAAUAGUGCUGGGCUGGAUUGGGCUCACAGUUGUGGGCUCUUGGGCUGGUUUUUGUGAACUGGGUUUAAAAACUAAAGUGGGCUUUAGAAGGGCUAGCAUUUGGAUUCACUCUCUCUUUAAAUGCUACUUUUCAUUUCUCUUUCUUUCCUUUUCUUUUGAUUUAUUUUCCUUUCUCUUCUUCUUUUUGUUUCUCCAUUUUCCUUUUUAACCGUAAUAAAGAAAAUAAAAUUGAACAAGAUUAAGAUAUAAAAUAAAAAAUAUAAUAAUAACAAUAAUAGGUAAUAUUAUCUAUCAUGGACAACUAUUUUUGUUUAAAUUUUUUAUUUGUGAUUACGUGACAUUUUUUUUUUAUAAUUACUAUUAUAGUCAUUAUAAAUAUUUUUUUUAGCUCAAAAAUUUGGAACAUGACACUUCUCUCGAGCUAAAUCUUGGAAUUUCCUUUUAAUAUUCUUGUGCUUCAUCUUACAUAUAUCUUCUUCAUAAGAAAAAAUACAUCUUUUUCAUCUAUAUUCUUGGAUUUGUAAGAAGAGGAACGAAAGCUGCUCUUCAACAAAAGUGUUCGCAAGCACAAGCGGUCGAGCUUUAUGUCAAGAUCAACUAAUGAUUGUACGUUAUGUUUAAGGGAAAAAAAUGAUGGAGCUUAGCACCAAAGAAAACAAACAAGUUGUAAGAUUAACUAUAUAUCAUCUAUAUCGCAGAUGUUAAAUAUGGUUUGGACCUUAUUACAGAGAUACACUAUAAACGAG